GGAGGGAGCCGUGAUAUUGUUUUCGGUAUAACCGCCAUUUUAUUGUUAGACUAUUCGUUGACCAACCCACUUUGCACGCAUAGAUUUAAAUAGGGGACACGGCUUUAUGUUGGCAAGUUCUCGUGGCUGCUCAUUGCCCCCCUCCAGUUUUCAACCAAAAGUUAGAGCCAAGUUACAAUACCUGUGUGGACAUCUGCAUUUUUGGCCGCAUUUAUUCAAGAAAAAGCCUGAUCUCAAGACGGUGCACUAAGGAGGUAUAUGUCUUUGGACAUAGAGUAAUGGAGAUGCCGGAGAUAAGGGAAUUCAGUUGAACUAUUAUUACAAUAUGUUAUAAUAUUCAACAAUGCUUUGUUCGAAAGAGCUAAUACAAAACUGAAGAUCGAGGAAGUCAAACGAUAUACUAUAAUCCUUACAAAUAUUUUAGUUUUACAAUGUAGUUAUAGGUAUAACUAUGCAGUUCGGUUAUUUACAAUACAUUAUUGUAAUGAAUACAAUAUACACUUAUAAUAUGAUUACAGAGA